UUUACAACAUAGUACUCUUACUUAGGAUUCAGAAUGGCUGGAGAAAGAAACAUGACAUGUGAGAGGCAAGGCGAUGGGUGCUACAACAGCUAAUUCAGGAAACCUCCUUGCCUUCCUUUGUGACCAAAGGAAACUUGGGAACAAUUCCCACAGAAAGGGCACAGCGACUCAUACAAGAAGAGAUGGAGGUCUGUGGUGAAGCAGCAGGGAGAUACCCAAGCAACUAUAAUGCUUGGUCCCAUCGCAUCUGGGUUUUACAGCACUUGGCCAAGCUAGAUGUCAAGAUUCUUCUUGAUGAACUAUCUUCUACUAAACAUUGGGCAUCUAUGCACGUUUCAGACCACAGUGGAUUUCACUACCGCCAGUUUUUGCUUAAGUCUUUGAUUAGCCAAACUGUGAUAGACAGUUCUGUGAUGGAGCAAAAUCCUUUGAGAAGUGAGCCAGCCCUAGUUCCUCCAAAAGAUGAAGAAGCAGCAGUUUCAACAGAAGAACCAAGGAUUAAUCUUCCCCAUCUUCUAGAAGAAGAAGUUGAAUUCAGCACUGAUCUUAUUGAUUCCUACCCAGGACAUGAAACCCUUUGGUGUCAUAGGCGGCAUAUUUUCUACCUUCAGCAUCACUUAAAUGGUAGGUUUCCUCACAGCAUGACCCAGUUGUCACCUGCAGACAGCCCUGGGGGGACUUUGAGUGACUUGCACCUUAUCCCAGCAGGCUCCCAGCUGUCUCAAGCAAUGGAAGUAGAUGGACUGAAUGACUCUAGCAAGCAAGGCUAUUCCCAGGAAACCAAACGCCUGAAGCGGACGCCAGUUCCAGACUCCCUAGGCCUAGAAAUGGAGCACAGGUUCAUUGAUCAAGUAUUGUCCACCUGUCGGAACGUGGAGCAAGCCAGGUUUGCCAGUGCAUACAGGAAAUGGCUGGUUACUUUGAGUCAAUGAAAGAAGUGAAUUAGUCCUACAAGGUUCCCCUUUUAGUGCAAUAUUGCUUUCUUUUAUUAUUUACAUAGUUGCAUGAACUGUUUACUAUUAUUGGCUAACCAUAUGUUCUUCAUCUUUAGGUUGAAAGUCCAUAGUAAAUCUUUCAUUUUAUUUAUUUUGUUAAUAACUGGCAUUCCUGUGGGGAUAAAAUAAUCGUAUAGUUCCUUCCUGCUGAACAGUGAGUCUUAAAUUUUCUGUUUAACUUCUCACCCUUUGUAUUUCUAUAUGUGGGGCUUCUCAUUUGGUUUUCCUGAUUGGUUCACACACACACACCUCUACCCCCCUCAGUCCAAUUGCUGCAUAGGCAAAUUCUUUUAAAAAUUAAAAAUUUAAGGCCUAGGCAGGAGGAUUGCCUGAGCCCAGGACUUUGAGACCAACCUGGGCCACAUAGCAAGACCCCAUUUCUACAAAAAGUAAAACAAAAUAGCUAGGCAUGGUGCUAUGCAACUGUGUUCCUAGCUAUGCAGGAAGCUGAGGCAGAAGGAUUGCUUGAGCCCCAGGUGUUUGUGGCUGUAGUGAGCCAUGAUUGCACCACUGUACUCAGCCUGGGCAAUAGAGUUGAGACCCUGUCUCUAAAACAAAUUGAAAAUAAACAUUUAUGUUGCAGUUCAACUGAAGAAUGUUGGUAUGAAUGCCAAAUAACUUGAUGUAAUUGUUUUGAGAAUCAAAUGGCUAGAUGGGCGAAUGUUUAAAAAUGUAAACUAGUUCUCUUUCUCUAGCAUGUUCUACCCAAUUACCAAAGUCAGAAGUAUUGGAAUUUAUAUGAAAAAAAUGCUUCCAAUGUAAUCCAUUUUUUAAAUGGUUAUUUUAAAAAAAAACUAAUUUAAGAGUUUAUGUAAUUGCAGUAAAGGAAAAUUAUUUUUAUUGCUAGUUUUGAUAGAUUAUUUUUACCUCAAAUUUGGUAUAUGCCAAAACACAUCAGUCCUUAUAAAAUUGAUUUUCUUUUUUCCUGAAAACCUGGAAUGCCAUUUUUAGCUAUUACUACUUUUUAAUUUCAAAUUCACUUAUGACAAAUGGGAGAAAUAUAUAAAGAAAUAGAUCCAUAAAAAUAUUCCUUUUUAAAAAUCUAAAUUAUUGAGGAUACACUAUGGAAACUAUAAAAUUAUCAUGAAGUGACUGUUAAAGUUUACUGGCAAAUGCCGAGGGAAGGAAUAGUAUGUGCAAAACAAAACACUUUGAUACUGAACUUAAUCAGGGAUGAGGUACCAAAGUAUCCACAUUAUAGCCGUAUCUUAUGUUUUCAAUAACAAGGGCUGAGUUUUUCAGGUAGGUGGGAUGAGGGUGGGGAAUGGGCCAUGUAAUGUCUGCUUUCUUAUAUUUGCCCUUUUGUAAAUGGUCUGUUUCUUCUUUUCAUAUACUUUGUUUUGCCAAUCCAUUACGUAUUUUUUGUCACUUUUGUGUGUCAUUUUUGUAUAUCUUUCCUUUCUUACUUCAGGGGUGUGUCUUCAAGAUUUCUACCCCCUAUUUGCAAUGAAUUUCAUACCUCAUCUAAAAUACAUUCAUAUACCAGAAAUAUGAAGAGUGGCCCUUCUAAAAGUUUCCCUAAUGAUGGAAGCUGUCAGUUGUCCUAUCUGUGCAGAAUGUGAGUAAUAGUGGCAGAAAUAAGUGUGACAACAAUGCUUUGCCUGUUAUUCUUUUUACUUGCUAGGUAAUUUGUAAAGUGGGGAUGAAGAUGUAGGGAAAGUAAACCUCUCUCUCACUGUUACGGAAAGCCUUGACUUGAGUUAGGUAGAUUGCCUUAAGAAGAAGAAAUAUGUCCUUUUCUUUGGCAUCAUGGUUUUGUUGAGUGGCAGACUGUUGAAGUGAGUUGAGACUUAAGAACGCCAGAAAAGUUGUCUAGCCUGGCCCCAGUAGACAGAAUUUGUUCUUCUCUCAAGUAAAAAAUUACCUUUUUAUAGCUUUUAUAUUAUUUAGAUGAAAAAAUACCAUUAUGAACAUAAUUCCAUGGCCCUUUGUGUACAAAGCAUAUUUUGAAUCAAAUACCUCAAGGUCCACCUAGACCUCUAUGGAUAAAAUCAUAAGUUUAUGAUUUUUAGCUCCUGUGAGGGUUUGGGGGCAAACUACACAGAGAAGACAUGGGUGGUUCAGCCCAUUCCACUAAAAUAUGUUGCCAGAUUCUGGCCUAACUCAGUAUUACCUUUUUUCCUAAAAAUCAUUUUUCACAUUUUGAGUAAUAGGGCUUAUGCUUUGAUGUGAAAAAAUGUCAGGAAAUGAGUGUAGACAAUACCCUAUAAAACACUAGCUAAGUUUUAUAGUGCUCCAUGCCUUUGUUUACCUUCCACUGAUUAUCUUGCCCAUCUUUGGUGUAAACUAUUUUCAUAUCUUCUAAGGCUCUUAACCCACUCUUUUCUGAAGCCGCACAGUCCUUUAAUAUGUCUUGUUUCCUUCCUAAAAGUUUAAAGUAGCAAAAAUACAAAUACCCAAAGGAUACUGUUAGUAUGUAACUUUUGUGUGCUGCUUUAUUUCUAGAGUUUGCGUUUUUUAAUUGUUCAUUCACAGAAAAUCCUAAUAUUGCCCUAUAUGGUUGUUUUUUUUCCUAAGUGGUUAAUAUUUAAACCCGCUAGCUGUAGCAUGAUAAUGUCUUUGACUGAGCUCAUGUAGUAGAAAGGAUGUGUCUGUUUUCUGGGACUUAUUAGUCUUCACUUAUUUUUCUAUAACAAUCUAAUUGUUAAAAGGAAAAGAUGGCUUAUUGACACAUAUUUCAUUAAACUUUCACUGGAAGAACAGUGGGUCAUCGUACCAUACUGUGGAUUAAGAAUACUACUGACAAGCAAAAAGCAUUAAGCUCUGUAACUGUCUCCAACACCACCUUCACCCCGCCUUUAGUGUACCUUAGGGUACUUUAGUGUACCUAUUUUGGCAGUACGGUGUUUUCCAGAUUCUACUUGUGCCCUGCACAUUGUGAGGACUCAUUAAAUAUUUAUUAAAUUAAUGAAUGACUAACAAGAAGAGAAAGAUUGUUUGUGAGUGAUAAGAAUGAGUGAUGAUUGAGAAAUUGAUGGAUUAGUGCAAUGGAUUGGGAAUGAAUGAUGCUUUCUAGUUUCGUAAUACUUGGGAAGAGCUAUUGCAUAUAGAAUAAGUUGAUUUAGACUUUUUUUUUCUUCAUUUCAUUACCUUGUUUAAACUUGUUAAAUCCCAGCCAAGAAAUGCAGCUCUGUAAUUGUCAAUUAACUGUAUUAUAAUAUAUAUUAAAAAUUUGUAGAGCUAAAGAACCCACUUGCAUUAAGAACACCACUUUCUGUUCAUUUGUGAUACUAGAGGACAGAUCCUGCAUACAGAGCCGAAACUGCUUUUAAUCAUCUGAAGAAAUUCUUUGAUUUCAGUGACUUACUGAUCUGUACCUGUGCACAUAUCAUCAUUUUAUGCUUCUCCUUUUUUCCCCGCAACUUGAACUGUGACUCUUUCAGAUAUUUCUUAAAUCUGUAUGAGUCAUUUUUUAAGCUUAGGGAUUUGAUAUGUAUUAAUGUCCCCUUUGUCUUCUCUAGAUUUUAGCAUUUUAUUACCUCUUAAGGAACUCUGGGCCCAGACUUUCAGUCAUAUUUCUUAUUCCUAUGGUACAGUUCUCACUUAAAGGCUUAGUUAUUAGUAGGGUUAAAUAUAUACAGGUUAUCUCUAAAAGUACUUAAAUUUUUAAAUAAGGGCUUAUGUGAUACAAGAUACGGAAACAAAAGUUUUUGGAUUUUUAUGCAGUAGUUUGCAGGAAAGCUAAUACAUAGUAGAUCGUAUGCCACUUAGGUAUGUUCAGGUCAUGCCAGUUUAUUCUUGUUGGGCCACACACACAUGUAUGUGUGUGUAAAAGGAAUUUUUAGUAUUGAAGCAAACAAAUUGUCAGUUUAAUAAUUUUCUCUUACAUAGCACAAGAUGGCAGAUACCACCUACUGUACAACAAUCUAAUAAUCCCUACCUUAGUUCCCCUGAGUUAUAGAAGAUGCUAAAGAUUUAGUUGUAAAGGGAAGUAACAUGAUUUUUUUUUUUCUAAAAAGCUGUUUUAAGCUAACUAUUAUUUUGCUACUGGAAAAUUAUAUUUUAAAACUUAACAGAUAUUUAAAGUAUGCUAGAAAAUUUGAACCUGAUAACAACUGAACCUUUUGUCUUGAAUAAAUUUCUCAAAUAGAACUGUGCAAACCCUAGCACUUUAUGUGUUGCUGCCUCCCCAUACCUAGGUAUGCUCUGUAAUAAGCUCCCAUUUAAUGGAGAGAUGUGUGGAGGCACUGAGAAGUUAAUGAAGAAAAAUCAACCCCAAGAAUUCCUUAUUGUCACAUAGUGUCUUUUAAAAAAUAACUGUAGAGACUGUGUUAAUUCGAGUGCCUUUCUUACUUUUUUGGGAGCAAGAUUAUAUUUAAUGUUUAAGAAAACAGGAUGGAAGUCUUAUCAAACAGUUGAUUGUGGCCCAUUGUUUUAUUUAUUCCCAUCGCUAGGCAUGGCCCCGUAGGGUAUUUUAUCCUUCAGUGAGAGACUGAUAUAAUCAGGCAGGAUGCUUUGAUUAUUCCAUUAGUUAUCAUUUUAAGCACCCUACCAAGAUUUAGUUCUUUCUUUCUGGCAACUAACGUUUUGGGGGUUGGAGGCAUCCCAUUUAGAGGAUGGUGUGUGCACAAAUAGAUUAGCCUGAAACCUGCGUCCAAAGGGAAACAGUGGCACUCUGCCCUAAAAUAAAGGCCAGAACGUUGUCCUAAAUGAAUCCUUUGCCUUACUUUAGGACCUUCCUUCCCUCUCAAAUUCAGGCAUAAUGUAAUAUAGUUGAAAGGGGGAAAACAGUACUUGCUUUCUCUCAGAUAUUGGAGGAAAAGAAGUAAAUGCAUAGAUGAAAUUUUAAAUGUAUCAUUUUAUCUGUAUAUGGAGAAGGGAGGGAUAGGAAUUGCAUAUUUCAAGAUAGCAAAUAUAAUUUCAUAGAAAUAUAUAGCUAAAGAUUCCAAAGUGCUUUUACAGAGAACUGUUGAAUAAUAUAUUCCUAAAGGGCAGCAAUAUGCCAUGUUCAUGGUGAAGACAGAAAACCAAUGAAUCAGUUGUGGAUCUCAGGUGGGAGAGGAAACCUCAGGCUCCCAACUUUGACUUCUCUACUCUCACCAGGCCAUGUUAACACUGUAAAACCAAACUCUUUGCUAAGAACAAUACAGGGCAGUAGUUUAGUCUGCUGAUGAAACCUUGUGCUUCCAAGAAUAUUAGCUAUAUAUAAUUUGUGCUUUCUGGACGAUUCUGUUGUCCAGAAAGCUAACCCUGACGUUACUUUUAUUAGUCUGUUGUUAUUCCUCAGGGUGUAGAAGAUUUAGUAAAUUUAGGACAAAUUUUAUAUUCAGUGGCAAAAAGAAAAGGCAAAAAUAUGCUAAAUAUAUUAUUAGCUCUUAAAUUUUAGUAUAGAUCGUAUUUUUUAUAAACUAUUACCAGUACAGUAGCUAGUAGAUAUUCUGUGACUGCCUCAUUGUUUAUCUUGCUGCUUUGGUCCCUAUGGCUCUAGUAUGAACAUUCUCGUGUCUUCUGUGGAAAUGAUUUCUGUGUUAUAGUUCCAUCUUUGGUAGAGGUGGGGAUGAUUGUAUUUUGUUUUAGUUGACAUCAUUCUCAACUUUUAGAAAUACUGUUGAGGAAAAUGAUUACCGUUGGUUUUCAAAUUGACAACUAUUUUGCUUCCAAAGACUUCAGUUUCCCUUUGUUUUAUGUGUAGACCUCAUAUAUGUUCAACACAUUGCAUACUGCCUUGCACAUUGUAGGAAUUCAACAAGUCAAGAGUUGAUAAAAGCUAGAAAGAUAAAACUAGCUUAGCUAUCAUAUCAUCAUUGUCCAUAUUCUUAGCUUUGGGAAAAAUAUACCAUUUUCCAUAAAAUACAUAAUCAGUUUCAAAUGCAUAAGGCAAAGAUAUACAGUUGCACAACAUUGCAAGUGAAAUUUACAAAGGAUUUUUAUUUUUGUGUAUGCUAAAAGUGCUCCUACUUAAAGCAGUUUUCUUUAUUAGACCAACACCUUCCAGCAGAGUUAGAAACCUAACACAAGUGCUCAUUUGUCCAAAUUAACCAGAUAGUUAUGUAAACUGUUCAUAUUAAGUCUUUAGUGGUUUACAAACAAUAACAUUCUGGCUUUUCUUCCAUACCUUUUAGGAAUCAGCCUUAAUUUUAAGUAUGGCAGUCACUUUCCUCAAGGUACUAUGCAGCAUACUUUAGAUUGCUUAUUUAUCAUUAUAAGGUGAUAGGUAAUAAAUUUGAGGUUUACUUGUCAUAUAAUUUCAUAUGGCAGAUAUUGAUUCAAAGAGCAUUCUAUUAGAAAAAGUUGAUAAAUUAUCCUCCCUUACAAAUAUCAUCUUGCAUUUGGAGCAGGUAUUUUUUUCUUAUUAGUUAAAGACUGGGUACAGUUAUAGUAGAUGCUCAAUAAAUGCUUAGUCAGUGAUUGAUCUAACAUCAAACUAACAGCUUUCAGAAAGGAGACUGUUGACAUCUUUUCACCAAGGAGUAUAUUUGUAGAGUAAUAUAUGUGUGGAAUUUUGAAAUUAUAUCAUUUGACAUGAUUUAUGAGGCUUAUUUAGGCUGGAGUUAGUAACAUGUAAUAGAAGUAUUAUUUAUACAGAACAUAGUUGAAAGAUAGGAGACGUGAAAGAUUAAGUAGUAUUUUCUUGUGCAAGGCAUAUUAAUAAAUGUAAUUAAAUGUCUUAAUAAGCAGCUGGCUGAACUCUAGAGAGAACUGCUGUAGUCUUCUGCAAUCAGUCUCUGUAUUGGUAUAUCCAGUAAUAUCGGGUUUAGGUUCUUUUUAUUUUUCCUUAAAUCUUAAACUUGUUUCUAGCGUCUUAAGAGUGGUAAUGGUAAAAUGUGAAGUUACAAUAAACUUCUGCUUGUUUUCUCAGAACAUCUUUGGCAUGAGGAAGAACUUUUUGUGAAUGAUACAGUAGUCUCAGCAUCUGUUAAUUUGUGGUUUUCAAAGCAUUUUUGACAGAGUUUACCUAAUGUAAAAAGAUUAAACAGUUUUAUAAAACACAAAUAAACAUUCCUACCUGAACUGUGAGGAACAGAGUGUAUAGUACAAAUGUAAUUAGGCAUUGCCUCCUGGCGAGGUUCUUGAUGCAUGACUAUGAUGCUGGCUGCUGACUGAGGUGACCACUGUCAGUAUUGUAUUUUGGCAUAUGUUGUUUUUAGGAAAAUAAUGGAAUGCAUUCUUAGAUUAACUUACUGUUUUUGAGUUGGAAAAAAUAAAAGAUGAGGUAUUAUAAGUAUGCCAAAUAUUUAUACACUACAAAAGAUUAAAAAAGGAGAGGGAGAAAAAAAAUCAAAGGCCAGUUAUGAUUUUAAUAGCGUCUAAUUUUUUUUUUGACUCGAAUUUUUUGGACACUAGUCAAUUGCAUAAUUUAACAUGGAGGAGCUUUCAUUUAAAAGAAGUUCUCAGCUACUAUAUUCUGCCAUUAGAAUUCACCAUGCCUGUUAAUUUUACAUUGCUUGAAGAUAUAAGUAAGCUGCCGUCAAUAUUGUUUUAAGAUUUUCUUAUAGUUUAUGUUUAAAUGGAAAAGUUACAUAUAUAAUCUAUGGUGCAGGGUCAGGCAUUGGCCAUUAAAGAUAAGUUUGGCUAACUAUUUUACUGAAGAGACUAAUGGUCUUCCCUCUGUUGUACUGCUAUGUUUCUUGAUCUGUUUUUCCCCAAUGUAACAGUCUACAUUGAAGUCCUUUAGCUCUCUCCAUAUACUAAUUGACAUUUGUUAAGGAUUCAAUAUUUUGUGAAUUCUUUUUACCCUUAAAAUGCAUAUCUUUCAGAGAGAUAAGAAUGAAUUUUGCAAUAAUUUAUAUGCAGAGUGUGCUUAUGGGUUUCUGGGAGUUCAAGUUAGUACCCCAGAGUGCUUAAAAGUAUGAUGCUAAAUUCUAAGGCUAAUGUAAUGACUGUAGAUUAUCUAUAUCCACAUUGUUCAACAGAAAUAUAAUGUGAACCACAACAUAAUAUUUAAUUUUCUAGUAGCCAUAUUAAAAAAGAAACAAGCAAAAUUAAUUUUAAUAACAGUUUAUGUAACCCAGUAUAUUAAAAAUAUCAUUUCAACAUGUAAUCAAUAUAAAAGAUUAUUAAUGAAACACCUUAUCUUCUUUUUCUUCCAUACUAAGUCUUAGAUUUGAGUGUAUUUUGCACUCACAGCACAUCUCAAUUCUGACUGGCCACAUUUUAAGUGCUCAAUAGUCACAUAUGGCUAAGGGCUACUAUACUGGACAGUACAGAUUCAUAGAGUACAAAGUAUGACUUUAACUUUGGAGAUGGUGAGGUAGGCAUGUAAUUAUGGUACUUUAAAAAUUCAGAAUAUUUAGAAAAGCAUCUAAUAGAAUUAUCCACUUGUUUUCCUUCAUCUUCAUUUUAAUAUGUUCUAGAAGUAGGAUCAGCCUGUUCCAAUUUGCCAAGCAUUAUUAAGGAGGAAUAAUUCCAUACCAUGUAAAAUACCAUGAUAUGCUGAUUAUAAUACAUUAACAAAUUUUUAAGUUGCGUUCACUAAAUUCUGUCCUGUUUCUUCAAAAUAAUAUAGCUUAAAUUGCAUGUUAAUUGUAUAUCUUACCUAUUUUGUUUUUAUAUUAUUCUUACAAUAUAAUCAUGUAUAUUAACAAACAGCCCUGGGAUUCUAAUCUUCCUCUGCAACUGUCUUCCAGGACUUACUGGCACUUAUUACACUGUGAUAAGUGGCAGAAAAGUAGAAUGAAAUAUUCUUUUUCCAUUAGAUUUGUUCUUAUGUGACCAUGUACCAAGCCAGCUAUAAAGUAUUGUAUUUCUAUAGAAUAUGGAAAAUAGUAUUUGUCUUACCUUUGCUAAAUGUUUGCAAUUUCUAAGUAAACCUUUUAUCUCCU
rnacentral:lncRNA from 1 species